rnacentral:rRNA from 1 species
UGGGGAAUAUUGCACAAUGGGCGCAAGCCUGAUGCAGCCAUGCCGCGUGUGUGAAGAAGGCCUUCGGGUUGUAAAGCACUUUCAGCGGGGAGGAAGGCGGUGAGGUUAAUAACCUCACCGAUUGACGUUACCCGCAGAAGAAGCACCGGCUAACUCCGUGCCAGCAGCCGCGGUAAUACGGAGGGUGCAAGCGUUAAUCGGAAUUACUGGGCGUAAAGCGCACGCAGGCGGUCUGUCAAGUCGGAUGUGAAAUCCCCGGGCUCAACCUGGGAACUGCAUUCGAAACUGGCAGGCUAGAGUCUUGUAGAGGGGGGUAGAAUUCCAGGUGUAGCGGUGAAAUGCGUAGAGAUCUGGAGGAAUACCGGUGGCGAUGGCGGCCCCCUGGACAAAGACUGACGCUCAGGUGCGAAAGCGUGGGGAGCAAACAGG